ensembl:lncRNA
CCACUAAUGACUGAGAAAUGCACGGGGCCAGAUGUUCUCUUUGAAACAACAAAGGCUUUUUUUCCCCUGUUGUCUGUGAACAAACAUCAACCUUGGUUCCCUCUGACCAACUCAACUCCAGGAUCUCACCACGCCGUGAAAUUCAACUCUUUAUGCCUUAAAGGGGAGAUUCACACCAGUGUCUUUGUGUGAGUGUGUGUGUGUGUGUGUGUGCGUGCGUGUGUGCGCGCGCCAGAUUGAAAAGGCAGAUGCCGCAGAGACACAUGAUCAUCACCUGCUCUGAAAGACAGCGGCUCUGCGGUGAAGGAGACCAAAAUGAAUAAAUAGCUGGUAUCCAAGGAUACUGGGGGAGGAUGGUAGCUGACACAGAAAACUGUCCCGGCUUAUUGGCUGGAAGCAUUGCUCAGAAACUCCAUCUCCACCAAUCAGCAGCCUGCAGCAUCAGCGUUGUUAACAAUGGCUGUCAGCAUCAUCAAUGAAUCACCGGCAUCCUGUUCAUCCUCCUCACCAUCAUCACACGUCAUCAUGCUGGAGCGUUUCUCAGCAUCACACCUCCUGUGCAGCAGGAGGCCCGGUCUGGCGGCGAGGACCGGCUGGGCGCUAAUUGGGCCUGAAGCUUCUGAAUGGCGGCGCCUGCCGUGAAUGGAGAUGAAGGGUACGGCACCCCUUGGGGAGUGAUGCAGGAGAGAGAUGCCGAUCCAUUUAGUCGCAGGUCCCCAAGGAGCACGAGAGAAGGGAAUUAAACCAACACGACACCCGGCUGCUAACUGUGUCAGCAUCUAAAGGAGGCGGGCAAGGGGCGGUUAGGUGUGUUUCAGUAUGAAACAUCUGCUCUUAAUCCGCACCAACCCGAUGGCUAUACCCCCAUGGGGGGACUCAAACCCACUGAAGAGCGUACGCAACUGAGCAGUUCCUAAAAGAAAACCGAUCGGAUGGACCCACAGGAUCGUGAUGGAGUUUGCAGAUACGCCUUUUGCUCACCGUGUCUCAUGUUAGUGGGAACUUUCUCCUCACGUCUCCCCAUCGUGUUGCCCCCCCUUUGAAGGAGUCAAGGAGUGAAAAGAGAGAUGAGUCUUAAUAGAUCUCUCCUGUGUGCCGCUUCUGUGAAGAGGGCCGUGAUAAAACCCACGAGGAGAGAGUUCAUGGGACGAGACGUGCAGGGAAAAGGUGACACAGAUUUACACGGUGGGAGAUUUGCUAACCGGACGACUCGGUACAUUAAUUAAGUUGAUAUUGUUUAAAUGACAAUGACAAAAGGCGACGUUGACUGAGCCGCGCUGAGGACUCAGGUUGACCACGAGGGCGACGAGCCAGCGGCCGUUGGACGAGGCGCGGUGACCGCGGUUACCGGGCAAAGGGGAGGGCUGUUUGUGCAUAAUGUGUGCGUCUGCAGCCGUGGGGGUUGGGGUGUCCCAGAAAUUGCCAAUUGCCCUUCACCCUUCCCCCACGCUUGGGCACCCACGUGGAAAGUGACAGACUGAAAAGAGAGAGGGGGGCGCAGG